CUCUCUCUUCAAUGUCAUUCACCUGAAGAAAAAAAACAGAAUUGCGAACGCAGCCUUCUUCUCCUCUCCUCAUAGAUUACGUAAAGGGAAAAAAAAAAGAAGAAUCCUUCUCUUGCAGUCUCAUAGAUUACGUAAAGAAAAAAGAAGCAUUUCUCCUCCUUCUCAUAGAUUAUGUAAAGGAAAAAGAAAAAAGAAAAAACUCAUUUGCGAUUCUUCUCCUCUCUCAAAAGUUUGUCAACUUUCCGCUUUACUCCGGUGUCGUUCAUCAUCUACUCCGGCGAACAUCUCACGCAUUGUGCAAUUGAAAAGUAUAAGGUGGUUUAAGGAUGUCACAUAUUCCCAUGUUAGUGCGUUACGGUGGUAUGUGGGAUGAGAGGCGAAGAAAAUACGAAGGAGGCAUGUUAAAAGGCAUCGUUGUCAGUAAAGAAAUAACACAUAAAGAUUUACAGGCAGAAUUAUAUGACCUUGCAGAAGUUGACCCUUCAAAGUUCGACGUAAUGAUAAGAUGCAUAUAUGAGAUAAAAGUGGAACACGAAGCUCCUACAUUUGAGUUAAGCAAUGACCGUGAUUUGAAGUUUUAUCUUCUUAGUGAAAAUCCAUUAAAGGUCCCUUUAUACGUCUCAUUUGAGCCUAAAAGUAAUCAAAAGCAAAAAAGUGUUAAGCAAAGAUUACAAUUCAGUAUCUGGCAGCAACCAAGCUCAUAACUUAAACCCUCAUCCUCCAAUUGUAAUGGAUACAUUAAAUGAGAAUGAAGUCCAUGUUCGUGAAGUUGAAGUUGGCUUGUGUGAUAACGUGAUAGGGACCACUUCGGCUAUAUGGGAAUCAUAUGAGUCAUAUGAUUCGAAAGAUGAGACUUUUACAUGGGAGCCAGUAGAGAUGAAUAGUGAAUCAUUUGACAUCCCACAACAUAGAGAUGGUCCUACAAAAGAUUGCAAAGGAAAAUCUAAAGUUCGUUACAGCUCUUCUAGCCAAAAGUUGAAGACAGACAUGAAUGAUUGGUCCGAAGAAAGCUCUACAAGUGAGGAGUUUGAUGUAGGACAAAUAUUUUUUUCCAAAAAAGAUUUGUCAAUGAGAUUAAGUGUCUUGGCAAUGAAAAAAAAUUUUCAGUUUGUAGUAAAAAAGUCUACAAAAGAGGUUCUCUUUGUUAGAUGCAUUGACAACAAGUGUGGUUGGAGACUGCGAGCGAUGAGAUUGAAGGAUUCAAAUAUAUUUAAGAUUAAAAAGUA